GGUGUGGCCUUGUGGGAGGAAGUAUGUCACUGGGGACAGGCUUUGAGGUUUCAGAAGCUCAAGCCAGUCCCAGUGUCUCUCUCUCUUCUUCCUGCCUGCUGAGCC
rnacentral:miRNA from 1 species